UACAGAGGGAGCAAGCGUUGUUCGGAAUUACUGGGCGUAAAGGGCGCGUAGGCGGUUCGAUAAGUCCCGUGUGAAAUCCCUCGGCUCAACUGAGGAAUUGCACGGGAAACUGACGGGCUUGAGUUCGGGAGAGGGAAGCGGAAUUCCGGGUGUAGCGGUGAAAUGCGUAGAUAUCCGGAGGAACACCAGUGGCGAAGGCGGCUCACUGGUCCAUUACUGACGCUGAGGUGCGAAGGCGUGGGGAGCAAACAGG
rnacentral:rRNA from 1 species